CUAAGGGCGUACGGUGAAUGUCUUGGCGCCAGAAGCCGACGAAGGACGCGGAAGGCUGCGAUAAGCCUCGGGUAGCUGUCAAACAAGCCUUGACCCGGGGAUCUCCGAAUCGGGAAACCGACCACCCUUAACCGGAUGGUAUCCGGCACUGAAUACAUAGGUGUCGGAAGGCAACGCGGGGAACUGAAACAUCUCAGUACCCGUAGGAACAGAAAGAAAACCCUCGACUUCCUCAGUAGCGGCGAGCGAAAGGGAAUCAGCCCAAACCUCUCGUGCUUGCACGAGGGGGGUUGCGGGAAGCGUUCAGGGCCCAGCCCGGAGAGUUACAAAAGCCAACCUAGCCAAAGUGGUCUGGAAAGUCCCACCAUAGCGGGUGAAAGUCCCGUAGGCGAAAGGCGAAGCUCUCUCUGGAACGUUCUCCCAAGUAGCACGGAGCUCGUGGAACUCCGUGUGAAUCCGGGUGGACCAUCACCCAAGGCUAAGUACUAUCUGGCGACCGAUAGCGUAAUAGUAGCGCGAGCGAAAGAUGAAAAGCACCCUUGUUAAGGGAGUGAAAUAGCACCUGAAACCGUAUGCCUACAAAGCUGUCGGAGCACUAUGCCCCUCGCAAGAGGGGAAUGUGUGACGGCGUGCCUUUUGCAUAAUGAUCCGGCGAGUUUAUGUGCGCGGCAAGGCUAAUGGCCUCAGGCCAGGAGCCGUAGCGAAAGCGAGUGCGAAAUGCGCGACUCAGUCGCGUGCAUAAGACCCGAAACCAAGUGAUCUACUCAUGGGCAGGCUGAAGGUCGGGUAACACCGGCUGGAGGGCCGAACCCACAACCGUUGAAAAGGUUGGGGAUGACCUGUGAGGAGGACUGAAAGUGUAAUCAAACUUGGAGAUAUCUGGUUCUCCCCGAAAUAGCUUUAGGGCUAGCCUCACGCCACUACGUCAUGGAGGUAGAGCUACUGAAAGGAUUCGAGGGCCUACCCGGUUACUCAUUCCUAUCAAACUCCGAAUGCCGUGACGACUAUCGUGGGAGUCAGACUGUGGGGGAUAAGCUUCAUGGUCGAAAGGGAAACAGCCCAGAUCGCCGGCUAAGGUCCCUAAACCUGGCUAAGUGAAAAAGGAAGUGGAAGGGCUUGGACAGCUGGGAUGUUGGCUUAGAAGCAGCCAUCAUUUAAAAAGUGCGUAAUAGCUUACCAGUCGAUGUCCUUCUGCGCCGAUAAUGAACGGGACUCAAGCCAGGUACCGAAGCCGCGGAUUCUAGAAACUAGAUACUAGAUACUGGAUACUGGAAGGAAAGCUGCAAUGCCAUUUCAUCAACUGGAUGUAUUCCGCAAGUCCUAUCAGUUGGCUCUGGAGAUUCACAAACUCUCCCUUGGGUUCCCCAAGACCGAGCAGUUUGGCGGACUUGGAAGUCAAUUGAGGGACUCCUCGAAAUCCAUACCCGUCAACAUAGGCGAGGGCAUGGGAAAACAGGAGUCGCCCAGGGACGUGGUUCGCUUUGUGCGAAUCGCGCUGGGAUCGUGCGACGAGGUCCGGAUUUGGCUGGACUUUGCGCGGGACCUGGAAUACAUCAAACCGGACAAGCAUCGGGAACUCGACCUGCGUUACUGCGAGGUCGGUCGAAUGCUCACCGGGCUGCGAAAACGAUGGAUGUCGUUGUAGUUGUUCCUUUCUAGUCUCUAGUCUCUAGUUUCUAGUUUCUAGACUGGUAGGGGAGCGUUCUCGAGGGAUGAAGGCAGACGGUGACGACUGCUGGACCGUCGAGAAGUGAUUAUGCCGGAACGAGUAGCGAUAAAGGAAGUUAGAAUCUUCCUCGCCGUAAGCCUAAGGUUUCCUGGGGAAGGUAAAUCCGCCCAGGGUUAGUCGGACCCUAAGUCGAGGGCGAAAGCCGUAGACGAUGGACGACCGGUUAAUAUUCCGGUACUUCCUGUCGACGCUUGAGCAACGGCGGUUAGGGAAUGUAACAGCCAGCCAAAUCCUAUAGCUAUGGAAGGUCCAAGCCCGAGGGAUCGCGCCAGGCAAAUCCAGCGCGUAUGGUCCUAGAGGUGAGUGCGGGGCCUUUGGCCCGUAAGUGGCUCGAUCAUUCUCCAAGAAAUACCGUCUAGCGAGUCGCACAGGAAUCCGUACUAAAACCAACACAGGUCGGCAAGGAGAGCAUCCACAGGCGCUCGGGAGAACGCUGGUUAAGGAACUCGGCAAAUUGUCCCCGUAACUUCGGAAUAAGGGGAUCCUUCGAUGGUAAUCAGGCUUGCCUUGUGAGCCAUUGGAGGACUCAGAAAUCAGCCCAUGCGACUGUUUACUAAAAACACAGGACUGUGCAAAUGCGAAAGCGGAUGUAUACAGUCCGACGCGUGCCCGGUACCAGAAAGUUAAGGGAAGAGGUUAGUUCCUUCGGGAGCGAAGCUUUGAACUGAAGCUCUGGUGAACGGCGGCCGUAACUAUGACGGUCCUAAGGUAGCGAAGUUCCUAGACGGGUAAAUUCCGUCCUGCACGAAUCGCGUAACGAUAUGGGCACUGUCUCAACCGGCGACCCGGCGAAACUGUAGCUGUGGUGAAGAUGCCACAUACCCGCGGCUAGACGAAAAGACCCCAUGAACCUUCACUGCAUCAUGGUAUUGGGUUUCGACCUAACCUGUGUAGCAUAGGUGGGAGGCUGCGAAGUCAGGACGCUAGUUCUGAUGGAGCCAUCAGUGAAAUACCACUCUUGUUAUGUUGCAAUUCUAACCCCGCGCCGUGAAUCCGGCAGGGGAACAGUGCUAUGUGGGCAGUUUGACUGGGGCGGUCUCCUCCUAAAAGGUAACGGAGGAGUUCAAAGGCAUGCUCAGCGCGGUUGGCAAUCGCGCCUAGAGCGCAAGGGUACAAGCAUGCUUGACUGCGAGACUUAUAAGUCGAGCAGAUGGGAAACCAGGACCUAGUGACCCAAGGAUUCCGUAUGGAAGGGUCCCUGAUCAACAGAUAAAAGGUACUCUGGGGAUAACAGGCUGAUCGCCCCCAAGCGUCCAUAGCGACGGGGCGGUUUGGCACCUCGAUGUCGGCUCAUCGCAUCCUGGGGGUGAAGAAGCUCCCAAGGGUUUGGCUGUUCGCCAAUUAAAGCGGUACGCGAGCUGGGUUUAGACCGUCGCGAGACAGGUCGGUCUCUAUCUGCCGUGGGCGUAGGAUACUUGAGAAGCCCUGACCCUAGUACGAGAGGAUUGGGUUGGACGAACCUAUGGUGUACCAGUUGUCGCGCUAGCGGCAUCGCUGGGUAGCUAAGUUCGGAAAGGAUAAACGCUGAAAGCAUCUAAGUGUGAAGCCCUCUUCAAGAUUAGGUAUCCCCAUCAGGCCCGUUGAAGACUACGACGUUGAUAGGCCGGAGGUGUAAGGUCCGCAAGGACUUCAGCUGACCGGUACUAAUCGGCCGAUUGGCUUGACC
rnacentral:rRNA from 1 species